CCUACGGGUGGCAGCAGUGGGGAAUAUUGCACAAUGGGGGAAACCCUGAUGCAGCAACGCCGCGUGAGUGAAGAAGUAUUUCGGUAUGUAAAGCUCUAUCAGCAGGGAAGAAGAUGACGGUACCUGAUUAAGAAGCCCCGGCUAACUACGUACCAGCAGCCGCGGUAAUACGUAGGUGGCGAGCGUUGUCCGGAUUUACUGGGCGUAAAGGGAGCGUAGGCGGACUUUUAAGUGAGAUGUGAAAUACUCGGGCUCAACUUGAGUGCUGCAUUUCAAACUGGAAGUCUAGAGUGCAGGAGAGGAGAAUGGAAUUCCUAGUGUAGCGGUGAAAUGCGUAGAGAUUAGGAAGAACACCAGUGGCGAAGGCGAUUCUCUGGACUGUAACUGACGCUGAGGCUCGAAAGCGUGGGGAGCAAACAGGAUUAGAUACCCCUGUAGUC
rnacentral:rRNA from 1 species